rnacentral:lncRNA from 1 species
GCGACUUCAAGUGUGACGCGGCUGUACAGUUGCUUACUGGUACAUCCGUACAGCGGCCUGACUCAUCACGUGCGAUGCCUGGCCGCGCCUCCCCGGCCUGCCCUCGCUGGCACACCAACCCAUGCCACAGUACAGCAUCCUUUUUGAUGCCCCUCUGACUGACUGUGUCCGCAUCUAUGUAUCGUCCCGCCUGCAGGCUACCACGCGCCCGACUUUCAGGUGGCGGCUCACCUGACGGACCUGACCAAGACCCUGAAGCUCAUCUACAGCCACAACCUGACCUCCACCUCAACCGUGGGCGCCGAGGUGACCCGCAAGCUGGCCACCUCCGACACCACCUUCGCGCUGGCCUACGCGCGCAAGCUGUCCAAUGGCGCGCUCACCAAGCUCAAGCUGGACGGCAGCGGCGCGCUGUCGGCUCUGUAC